AUGCAAAUGAAAUCUUAUUCACUUCUCAAAACACAGUGGCCAUCAUCUUCUUCCUUCAACCUUCCCAAACAUCUCCUCCUCAAUCUCUUUUUCUCUCCUCUGUUUCAAACGCGUCACUCUGUGACUCACCUGCGCGGAUCCAAACCUCACCGCCGUCAACUUUGGCUCAACGUCGCUUCUGCUCGUCAUCAUUCAAUUCAGAGGCCACAACGACUCAACCUUCUGUUCGCAGAAGAGUGGAGUGGGGAUAGAAUAGGAAUUGGGUUGAGGGAAUGGAUAAGAUCAAUCCCUGAUUUUGUGGGAUCUGGAUCAACAGGGCAUUUUGGUUAG